AACCAUGAUUGAAUUGAUGAAGCCCAAAAGAUCUUUUCCAACCAGACAGCCCAACUUGACCCAACAAAGCCCAAACCGAUUCACUUCAAGCUAGGGUUUCACUAUAUAUCACAGCAAAACCUCACCACCAUAAUUUCCUAUUGAAACCUCCCCCUUUCUCUCUCCUCAGAUUUCUCCAUCGAUUAGGGUUUUGAGUUUGCAUCUUUUCUUCGUCCGAUCACCAUGAGAGCCAAGUGGAAGAAGAAGCGUAUGAGGAGGUUGAAGAGGAAGCGCCGAAAGAUGAGACAGCGAUCUAAGUAGGAGCUCGUCGUCAGCUGCUGCGUUCGCGUUUAGAUUUCCGUCGUUUUUCAUCUUAUUUCGUCCAACUAUUAGCUAUUUUUGUAGCUACUUGACUGGUUUUAGGUACUCAGUUUUAUGUAUUGGUACGUUUUGUUAAACAUGAUAUUAUCAGUAAUUUUACUUGGAUAAUUUACAUGAUUUUCGACA